rnacentral:misc_RNA from 1 species
GAACUGCGAUAAGUAAUGUGAAUUGCAGAAUUCAGUGAAUCAUCGAGUCUUUGAACGCACAUUGCGCCCCUGGCAUUCCGGGGGGGCAUGCCUGUCCGAGCGUCAUUGCUGCCCUUCAAGCCCGGCUUGUGUGUUGGGUCGUCGUCCCCUCCGGGGGACGGGCCCGAAAGGCAGCGGCGGCACCGCGUCCGGUCCUCGAGCGUAUGGGGCUUUGUCACCCGCUCGAUAAGGACCGGCCGGGCGCCAGCCGGCGUCUCCAACCUUUUUUCUCAGGUUGACCUCGGAUCAGGUAGGGAUACCCGCUGAACUUAAGC